rnacentral:lncRNA from 1 species
UUUUUUUUUUCUGAAUUUUUUGAUACCUUUGGUAGAUACCCAAUUGUUCAUCGAGUUAGGUUAGAAGGGCAUAUACUAGCCUGCUUUACGAGGCUAGAGUUCCAAUCUUAGAUCAAGAUCAUUUAAUCUCAUAUUAAUUGAAGAAUUAGAUAAUCAAGGGCAUAUAAUCCUCUCAGGUUUCUCUUAUUUUUAGUAGUAAAAUUAUAUAU